AACGCUGGCGGCGUGCCUAAUACAUGCAAGUCGAACGGUCUUUUCUAUGGAAGCUUGCUUCCGACUGGGAAGAUAGUGGCGGACGGGUGAGUAACACGUGGGUAACCUGCCCAUAAGAGGGGGAUAACAUCCGGAAACGGGUGCUAAUACCGCAUAGUUUUCUUGAUCGCAUGAUUGAGAAAGGAAAGACGGCCUUUGUGCUGUCGCUUAUGGAUGGACCCGCGGCGUAUUAGUUAGUUGGUGAGGUAACGGCUCACCAAGACGAUGAUACGUAGCCGACCUGAGAGGGUGAUCGGCCACAUUGGGACUGAGACACGGCCCAAACUCCUACGGGAGGCAGCAGUAGGGAAUCUUCCGCAAUGGACGAAAGUCUGACGGAGCAACGCCGCGUGAGUGAAAGAAGGUUUUCGGAUCGUAAAACUCUGUUGUCAGAGAAGAACAAGUCGGAGAGUAACUGCUCCGGCCUUGACGGUAUCUGACCAGAAAGCCACGGCUAACUACGUGCCAGCCGCCGC
rnacentral:rRNA from 1 species